rnacentral:lncRNA from 1 species
CCCUACUCCUACAGUGAACCUAUUGCAGCCAAUCUACACUGCAUGGACCCAUAUGGCUAGAGACCAUGUAUUUGUGCAGUCAAACUACAAUAACCUCACUGUGAGCAGCCGAAGCAUCGCAGGUCAAAGGGCCAGUCACACUACUGCAACAUCAAGCAAGUCACUGACGAGUGGAUAGAUAUCCAAGUGACUUCUUGUGUUGGUCACACUCAG